CCGCAUCCCAGUGAAAAUGCCCCCAAACCUUUCUUCCCAAGCAAAAGGAGCAGGUAUCAGGCACACUCAGCAGUAGCCCAAGACGCCUUGCUUAAGCCACACCCCCACGGGUACUCAGCAGUAAUUAACCUUAAGCAAUAAGUGUAAACUUGACUUAGCCAUAGCAACCCAGGGUUGGUAAAUCUUGUGCCAGCCACCGCGGUCAUACAAGAAACCCAAAUCAAUAGCUACCCGGCGUAAAGAGUGGCCACAUGUUAUCUGCACCAGCUAAGAUUAAAAUGCAACCAAGCUGUCAUAAGCCUAAGAUCCACCUAAACCCAACCCAAAUCCAUCUUAGCCUCAACGAUUAAUUUUAACCCACGAAAGCUAGGACCCAAACUGGGAUUAGAUACCCCACUAUGCCUAGCCCUAAAUCUAGAUACCUCCCAUCACACAUGUAUCCGCCUGAGAACUACGAGCACAAACGCUUAAAACUCUAAGGACUUGGCGGUGCCCCAAACCCACCUAGAGGAGCCUGUUCUAUAAUCGAUAAUCCACGAUUCACCCAACCACCCCUUGCCAGCACAGCCUACAUACCGCCGUCGCCAGCCCACCUCUAAUGAAAGAACAACAGUGAGCUCAAUAGCCCCUCGCUAAUAAGACAGGUCAAGG
rnacentral:rRNA from 1 species